ACAGUCCUGGGCUCCCCACACCUAGAGUACUAACACAUCAGUCAUUCUAACAAGGUCAGUUAGAGGGAUGACCUUGCUGAGAAAGUGACAGAGGAGCCAGUCCUUGUGCAGCAAAGAUGUGGGGAGGGAGACCAGACAACAAAAGGAGAUUUUGCAACAAUAAGAACAUAGUCAAGAUCAGAAGAGGGAAGGAGAAUGAAAUUGGUAGUAAAAAAAGAGCAAAUUCACAUGAAUAUCAGGUCCACAACAGACACUGUCUGCAACCACCCUCAGAUACAGGAUCUGCAGCCUAUGCCAGGCCAAGAAGACAAGUUUCAUUGGGCAAUUGAACACAUUAAUCAAGCAGAGGUUCUUCAUGGGACAGACAAGUGGCUUCUACAAAUAUUUAGACAUAUCCUGAUGGACGCCUGCUUCAAUCUCUCAGAAGAAUCAUUCUGUCAGGAUGACCAGACAUGAAGAAUCAUAGAAGUGUAGGAUGGGAAGGGAUCUCUAGAGGCCAUCUAGUCUGGUACCCUGC